rnacentral:rRNA from 1 species
UCACGAGGAUCCUACUGUCUCCCCCCUCUAAUCAGUGAAACUGAUCUCCCCGUGAAGAAGCGGGGAUAUACAUAUAAGACGAGAAGACCCCAUGGAGCUUUAAACCUGACAGCACCCGCUCAUUCUAUACCCCAUUAUUUGCCCGACCCCUGUCUGCUCAGUUUUAGGUUGGGGUGACCACGGAGUAUAAAAUAACCUCCAUGAAGAAGGGGAUAUUUCCCUUAUUAGAGAACCACACUUCCAAGAACUAAUAAAUUAAUUUUCAAUGACCCGAUACCCGAUAAUCGAUCAACGAACCAAGUUACCCUGGGGAUAACAGCGCAAUCCACCCUGAAAGCCCUUAUUAACAGGUGGGUUUACGACCUCGAUGUUGGAUCAGGGUAUCCCAGUGGUGCAGCAGCUACUGAGGGUUCGUUUGUUCAACGAUUAAA